GCCGGGCAUGGUGUUACGUGCCUGUAGUCCCAGCUACUGGGGAGGCUGAGGUGGGAGAAUCACUUGAGCCCAGGAGGUAUAGGAUGCAGUGAGCCAUAAUCAUGCCAUUGCACUCCAGCCUGGACAACAGAGAGAGACCCUACCUCAA
rnacentral:SRP_RNA from 1 species